AGCUUUCUCUGUUCAUUUCCCUCUGCAUUUUCUACUUUUACAGGAAAUACCUCCAAAAAAGUGUAGCUCCCUUCCACAGAAAAGCUGCUGGUUUCAUGGCCAGCCCUGAUCUUGUGAAACACCUUGCCAACUGAGCUGGAGAGGGCACAGAAGUAGCUUCAAGUAUUACAAGAAAUGAAGCAGUAUCUUCAAACAUACUUUCUGGUGCCCAAAUGAGAGAGUUUUUGCCAAUAUGCCAAUGUAAGUUCUGAGCUGUAGAUAUGCAUAAUUUCAGUUUAUUAUGUAUUGACGUAUGGCUUUGAAAAUUUAUAUCUCCGUUAGUUAUGUAUAGAACUUCCUUUUCUCCACAUUCUCACCAACACUUAUGGAAUCACUUGGGAGGUAGGGUUUCAUCAUCAUUAUAAUUUGUACUUCCUUGAUUAACAAUGAGAUUGCACAACCUUCCAUAUGUUUAUUAGCCAUUU
rnacentral:lncRNA from 10 species